rfam:Rhodanobacter sp. 115 contig031, whole genome shotgun sequence.
AACCGCCGUAUGCGGAACCGCACGUACGGUGGUGUGGGAGGGGGCCGGAGGAUUCCGGCUCCCUACCCGAU